rnacentral:rRNA from 1 species
AUACGGAGGAUCCGAGCGUUAUCCGGAUUUAUUGGGUUUAAAGGGUGCGCAGGCGGCCAUUUAAGUCAGCGGUUAAAUCGUGGGGCUCAACCCCAUUCUGCCGUUGAUACUGGGUGGCUUGAUUGCGGUCGAGGUUGGCGGAAUUCGUUGUGUAGCGGUGAAAUGCAUAGAUAUGACGAAGAACACCGAUUGCGUAAGCAGCUGACCAGACCGCAAAUGACGCUCAUGCACGAAAGUGCGGGGAUCGAACAGGAUUAGAUACCCUGGUAGUCCGCACAGUAAACGAUGAAUACUUGUUUUCGGCGAUAUAAUGUCGGAGGCAAAGCGAAAGCGAUAAGUAUUCCACCUGGGGAGUACGCCGGCAACGGUGAAACUCAAAUGAAUUGACGGGG